rfam:Gymnopus luxurians FD-317 M1 unplaced genomic scaffold GYMLTscaffold_1, whole genome shotgun sequence.
ACACCGUUGGUGAAGUGGUUAUCAUGCUUGCCUUCCAUAAUGGAGACGUUGUUGAUAGCAAGCGGCUCGGGUUCGAUUCCCGAACGGUGUA